GAUUCAUGAUUGUAAACUUUCCAUGUUUGGUAUCAUUUUAAAGGUAUUUGUGCGAUUGGUAAAAUGGUCUCAAUUUCACAGUAGUCACUUGUUUUAUAAGAAAGAUUUAAAACUUUUGUAGAAUUGUGUUCUGCUGAGAAGGGGGUGUGUCCCCCUUUAGGGGUCUUUGAGAAUGUUUAUCUCCAGCCAGGUGUGACCCUGAUGUGAUCAUGGGAACCUAAAAAACCAAAAGGUCUUUUAUGUUUUUACAGCUGAUUUGAAGAUUAUUUGUUGUCUGGUCUGAGUAUUUAGGGGAAGUGACAAAACACUACUGCGCGAUUCUGUUGCCAGAAAGCCCGUAGUGUGGAGUGUAUUUCAUAUGCUCCAUACUAUGUAUCUUCCUGAAGUCAGGUAUACUAUUAUGUAAUUGUGUUAAACACAUUGUGCCUACAGAGCACACUGUAUAGUUGUUUGUACAAUGUGUACUACAUGUACACAUUGGCUAGUUAAGUUUAUUCUCUAAAACACCUGAGUGCUUUGCUAUGCAUUUUAGACCAUGUGUCUUAAAUUAGGAUAACUGUUACAUGUGUGACUGUGUUAAAUUUGCGUGCCUCCUGCAUGGAUCACUUGGCCAUUCCCAAUAUCGCUACAGUGACUUUGUGCAGGAGCAAAGUUGCAACACAGAUACAAUGUGAUUUACAAUUACACUAUCCUUUCUAAAUUGGCUUCUAAUUAUUUUCAUUAUGUAAUUGGCAUGAUACAAUUUUACCUGACUGAUAAUAAAUCGUUAUAUUUGAUUUAUUCUGCAUUAUUCUUAAUUCAUUAUUACUAGUAGAUUAAAGCGAAGGUAUUACCUCAAAUCUGUGUUCAGGAUUGUUCAUACGAAAGGUUUAAUAGAUGGAGCAUGGGGCACAUCAAUUGAGUCCAUUUCGAUUUCUGACUAUCACUGUCUUAAAUAAGUUGCAGUUUUCGUAAAUAUAUAAAAACUAUGCUUUUUGUACGAGUAAGCAGGGCGCGACCGACUUAAAGGUAGAUAGUUACCCUGCAUCCAAUGUUUAAGAUCAGACUGACGAGUUUGUGUCCGGGAAGGGCAUUCAAUCGGCCGAAAUGUUACUUCUAAAGCAAUACCGGGUCUGCAGUGAACGAAUAAUUGAAAGUAUGGGCUUUUCAGAAUACUCAAAUAUCUAAAUUAAUAAACAAUCGAUAUCUGUGAUCAGCUUUUGAUAGAAAUAUUGCCUUAAUUUUAAUGAUCACGUGAAAUUGGAGUCAGAUUAAACACGGGGCUAGACUAAAAUUCAAACUAAAUCCUGAUAAAUUCAGAAGCACAAAUAAAAGACAGAAUACGCAUUAAACCUUUGACCAGGCUGCUGGAUUCUGCUUUUUGGGCUGGCGGGUGGAUCCUUACAGUACCAAGUUUAUGAAACAGAAUUGUUUUGUUACAAAAAAAUAUGUAAGGCUUAGUUUAGAUUGUUAAUUUAUAAAGCACAUUUCAAAACAAAAAUUAAAAAAUAUUAAAAC
ensembl:lncRNA